rnacentral:rRNA from 1 species
UACAGGGGGUGCAAACGUUGCUCGGAAUUAUUGGGCGUAAAGCGCGCGUAGGCGGCCACCUAAGUCGGAUGUGAAAGCCCCUGGCUCAACUGGGGAAGUGCACCCGAAACUGAGUGGCUUGAGUACUAAAGAGGGUCGCGGAAUUCCCGGUGUAGAGGUGAAAUUCGUAGAUAUCGGGAGGAACACCGGUGGCGAAAGCGGCUCACUGGAUCUCUUCUGACGCUGAGGCACGGAAAGCUAGGGUAGCGAACGGG